GUUCUUACCUUGUUGGGGCCGCCGAGAUCAUGAAUUCGGUUGGCCUACCGGGCUACCCUGCAUUGCACAGCGCGGAGGUGGCUCGGUAUGAAUCUCCUUCGGGGGCUUCACUGGCGUAAUUUUUGAUGGCUUUCCUGAUGGAAAAC
rnacentral:snRNA from 19 species